rnacentral:hammerhead_ribozyme from 1 species
AUCCAAAUGACGAGUUCCAAAUAGGACGAAACGCGCGUUCUAGAU